rnacentral:rRNA from 1 species
GACGAACGCUGGCGGCGUGCUUAACACAUGCAAGUCGAACGGGUCUGCCCUGUUUUUUGCGGGGUGGGUCAGUGGCGAACGGGUGAGUAACACGUGAGUAACCUGCCCCUCACUUCUGGAUAACCGCUUGAAAGGGUGGCUAAUACGGGGUGUUCUGGCUGUGCCGCAUGGUGUGGCUGGGAAAGAUUCACUUUUGUGGUGUUUUGGUGGGGGAUGGGCUCGCGGCCUAUCAGCUUGUUGGUGGGGUGAUGGCCUGCCAAGGCUUUGACGGGUAGCCGGCCUGAGAGGGUGGGCGGUCACACUGGGACUGAGAUACGACCCAGACUCCUGCGGGAGGCAGCAGUGGGGGGUAUUGCACAGUGGGCGGAAGCCUGAUGCAGCGACGUCGCGUGAGGGAUGGAGGCCUUCGGGUUGUGAACCUCUUUCGCCGGUGAAGAAGGUCCUGCUCUUUGUGGUGGGGUUGACGGUAGCCGGGUUAUGAAGCGCCGGCUAACUACGUG